rnacentral:misc_RNA from 1 species
UUGAAAAAAAGAAUAUCGAAUCAUUCGAAAAACCUGUUAAAUGAUUGUUGGCAUCUGCCAUCCUACAAAAUCGCCCUCAUAGUUGCCCCAUUUCUGAUGGAAUUGUCGUGCAAUGGGGGAUGGAAAAAACAUAAAUCCGGCGCAGCUUAGCGCCAAGUUUUGAUUGAGAACACAUUGCCCUAAUAUAGGGUUUCAUGUGGUAUCGAGUGUGUCCCAUACUAUAUGCAUCAACAUGACUCUCGGCAAUGGAUAUCUCGGCUCUUGCAUCGAUGAAGAGCGCAGCGAAAUGCGAUACGUGAUGCGAAUUGCAGAAUCCCGUGAACCAUCGAGUCUUUGAACGCAAGUUGCGCCCAAGGCCUAUCGGCCGAGGGCACGUUUGCCUGGGCGUCAAGCGUCGCAUUGCUCCUUGCGCUAUCUCCAAUUCAUCUCUUGGUGGUGUUGGAAAGAGCUCGGAUGCGUUGGGUGGCUCCUCGUUCCAAUGGUGCGGCGAGCUAAAGAUUGUAGUAUUUUCUCAUUUGGCUUGGAGCAACAAGGGGUGGAUGCGAAAAAUUCCCAUGUUGUUUUUGUGCUGGCCUAUCUAAGAAGAGAUACUCGUGUGAUCCGAAGCUAUGCGUUCGAGGGCAUAGAAU